UUGCGGCGGGAAAGUCCUGCACGACCAGCUCCCUCGGAAUUCCCCCAGGGCUUGACCGCAGCAAGGGUACUUGGUCGUAGCGGUGCGAUGCAGUUCAGCUUUCCCACUU
rfam:Tannerella sp. oral taxon BT063 isolate Cell 1/3 contig_2519917842, whole genome shotgun sequence.